UUGGCCUUACCAAUGGCUGCCUAUUGGAUAGCCACAACUAUUAUUAAUGUCAGUGCAGUCUCUGCAUGUGGUUCUCACUUCAAGUAAGAUUUAAUUGUAAAAGUUUCUUAGUUACUAUACACAUAACUAGCUUAUUGAGUUGCAUGUUGGAUUAGUUCUUAUUUGAGCACAUAUGGCCUUAAAAUUGUCAGUAUCCAUCAAAAUGAACUUGAGGAGCUAACUGCUUUAAUUGCCAAAAUCCUGGCUACUUUCUCUCCUGAACUAGAAAAGAAAAAGACAGGAAUCUUUUCAAAUGUUGCGGCAUGCAUGGUAUCACAAUUCUUCUUCUAAUAGGGUAGAACUUUUUAGAUUAAUGUUUAAUGUCAAGGAUGAUGAUGAAAAGAUAUUUGAAAAGCCCAAGCAAUAUCAUUUACCGGUGAGGCUUUAAAUGAAUCAUAUGCUUACUUUUA